UCCGGCCGCAGCUUUCGCCGAAUC
rnacentral:piRNA from 1 species